AUAUCUGAAUAAAGAUACACUGCUUGCACCUCCCAAUCGGGUUGUCUCUGUGUUUAUCGGGUGGGCUCUGAAGACUGAAACAGGGGAGAGCACUAAGACAGUUCCCCACUAUCACAAAUGAUGAAGUGGAGUUUCCCCACAUUUGGGGAAAUCACAGGGGUCAGCCCAUCCUGAAUGCAAUGGAUAAGCCUUGCCCUAAGAAAACUAUGGAUCAUGGUUUCGUGAUCAUGGAAGUAUCCUUACCAGGGCAGGAAAUCUUGCAAGCUCUUGGACUCAGACAUUCAUUCCAUCUCAUACCACCUUGGUGGCAGGCUCUCCUCCUUCACAUCUCUGCUGAAACCAAGACUGCAGAAAGGCUCCAGAAAACUAGCAUAGCCCCAAGUAAAGGACAUAAGAUUUUGAAGGAGACAAUAAAGGAUUUGGACUUUAA